AGAGUUUGAUCAUGGCUCAGGACGAACGCUGGCGGCGUGCCUAAUACAUGCAAGUCGAGCGGACUUUUUGGGAGCUUGCUUCCGGAAAGUCAGCGGCGAACGGGUGAGUAACACGUGGGUAACCUGCCUGCAAGACCGGGAUAACUUCGGGAAACCGGAGCUAAUACCGGAUGAUCUCCUUUUCCGCAUGGAGAAGGACUGAAAGGACGGCGCAAGCUGUCGCUUGCAGAUGGGCCCGCGGCGCAUUAGCCAGUUGGUGAGGUAACGGCUCACCAAGGCGACGAUGCGUAGCCGACCUGAGUGGGUGAUCGGCCACACUGGGACUGAGACACGGCCCAGACUCCUACGGGAGGCAGCAGUAGGGAAUCUUCCGCAAUGGACGAAAGUCUGACGGAGCAACGCCGCGUGAGCGAUGAAGGCCCUCGGGUCGUAAAGCUCUGUUGUCAGGGAAGAACAAGUGCGGGAGUAACUGCCCGCACCUUGACGGUACCUGACCAGAAAGCCACGGCUAACUACGUGCCAGCAGCCGCGGUAAUACGUAGGUGGCAAGCGUUGUCCGGAAUUAUUGGGCGUAAAGCGCGCGCAGGCGGUCCCUUAAGUCUGAUGUGAAAGCCCCCGGCUUAACCGGGGAGGGUCAUUGGAAACUGGGGGACUUGAGUGCAGAAGAGAAGAGCGGAAUUCCAUGUGUAGCGGUGAAAUGCGCAGAGAUAUGGAGGAACACCAGUGGCGAAGGCGGCUCUUUGGUCUGUAACUGACGCUGAGGCGCGAAAGCGUGGGGAGCAAACAGGAUUAGAUACCCUGGUAGUCCACGCCGUAAACGAUGAGUGCUAAGUGUUAGAGGGGUUAACCCUUUAGUGCUGCAGCUAACGCGUUAAGCACUCCGCCUGGGGAGUACGGCCGCAAGGCUGAAACUCAAAUGAAUUGACGG
rnacentral:rRNA from 1 species